rnacentral:lncRNA from 1 species
AUGUUGCCUGCCAGCAUGUCCAGUGAUUUAGCUGGAAAUAUUGGAAGGGCCGUUUUGGAGGCAAUACAGAGUCUCAGCAACACGUCUGCAACGACAGUUACAGCAACAGCCACAGCGUCCAGCACAGAGCCGCGACAGCACUCGGCUUCCACCAGCAGUGCACCUGGACCAGCAACACCCGCCGCCUCCACCGGGGCAUCAUACUGCUCGGGCUCCAGCACAAGCAAUACGUCCAUGUCAUCAACACCAAAACUUUUCACCCCACAGACCGAUCAAUCAGAUGGUUACCAGGGAAGGCAUCAGAUUUCCAAAGAGGAGCUGGAGAAUGUUCUUUUACUGAAAACCACUUUUACUGAAGCAGCGUCUGUUCUUUCAGUUUCAAGGCCAACUUUCUAUAAGUUACUGCAAGACUAAAAUAUCCCAACGUUGAAAUUUAACAGCAUCAGUGACCAACAAUUGGAUGUUAAAGUGUCACACAUAAAAACUGAACAUCCAAAUGUUGUAGAAGUGAUGCUUAUGGGGCAUCUGCGCUCAAAAAACAUUGUGGUUCAAAGAAG